rnacentral:rRNA from 1 species
UACGAAGGGGGCUAGCGUUGUUCGGAAUUACUGGGCGUAAAGCGCCACGUAGGCGGCUUUGCAAGUUAGAGGUGAAAGCCCGGGGCUCAACUCCGGAAUUGCCUUUAAAACUGCAUCGCUAGAAUUGUGGAGAGGUAAGUGGAAUUCCGAGUGUAGAGGUGAAAUUCGUAGAUAUUCGGAAGAACACCAGUGGCGAAGGCGACUUACUGGACACAUAUUGACGCUGAGGUGCGAAAGCGUGGGGAG